rfam:Ciona savignyi cont_10663, whole genome shotgun sequence.
GCUGCGAUGGCCGAGUGGUUAAGGCGUUGGACUCGAAAUCCAAUGGGAUGUUCCCGCGCAGGUUCGAUUCCUGUUCGCAGCG